rnacentral:piRNA from 1 species
UGCCUGUCCUGGUUUUGUGCCUGACUCUU